rnacentral:rRNA from 1 species
CUGCCUACGGGACGCAGCAGUGGGGAAUAUUGCACAAUGGGGGAAACCCUGAUGCAGCGACGCCGCGUGAGUGAAGAAGUAUUUCGGUAUGUAAAGCUCUAUCAGCAGGGAAGAAAGAAAUGACGGUACCUGACUAAGAAGCCCCGGCUAACUACGUGCCAGCAGCCGCGGUAAUACGUAGGGGGCAAGCGUUAUCCGGAUUUACUGGGUGUAAAGGGAGCGUAGACGGCGAUGCAAGUCUGAAGUGAAAGGCGGGGGCCCAACCCCCGGACUGCUUUGGAAACUGUA